rnacentral:tRNA from 1 species
UGGAUCACCUCCUAACAGGGAGACAACACAAUGAUUUUGAUGCCUGAGUGCUUUUAUUCUUAGGCCGAAAUCCUGUCACCUUAGGUCGAUCGGUACCUCAGCUUUGAAGUUAAGGAUCAGCAGAAAUGUUGAUUGCUUGAUGGAGAUUUUCAGUUUCUAAACUUUGUCUAGGUCACACCCCAAAAGGGAUGAGACUCCUGGGCCAUUAGCUCAGGUGGUUAGAGCGCACCCCUGAUAAGGGUGAGGUCCCUGGUUCAAGUCCAGGAUGGCCCAUUCGGUGUUGGGGGUUUAGCUCAGUUGGUAGAGCGCCUGCUUUGCAAGCAGGAUGUCAGGAGUUCGAGUCUCCUAACCUCCACUGACCGAACUUGAUUCCCAUCUCCAGUUCUUUUGGAGUUGAGCUCGAUUGGAGUGUGAUUUAGAUGUGUCCGCUGGAUGAACCCAGCUUCCUGUCAUUCCAAGUUUUAGGUUGAAACCUUGAAUUUGGUUGAUAAGAUGCUGGGCUCGAAUCAAGUAAUCAAGCAAUUGAUGAUUUGAUUUGAAGUUCUAGCAGAACCUUGACAACUGCAUAGGUGAGUCUGGAAAAAACAAAGCAUCUUACAGAUGCAUUGUUUUGAAUCUGAUCUUCUGAAAGGGAGAUUGGAUCUAGAACAAUGAAAAUUCUUUUGAGCAAGAGCCGAGACUCUUGAACGUUCUUUGAUUCGUGUCGAGCGAAUCAGAGUUUGAUCUUGUUUUUAGCAAUAAAAACUUGAGAAUCUGCUUUCAACGGCGGUAAGCGUUCAGGAGAUUAAUUGGUCAAGCUACAAAGGGCUCACGGCGGAUACCUUGGCACACAGAGGCGAUGAAGG